UGACCCUUCUUAAGCCGAGGGUCACCUAGCCAACUGACGUUGUUAGUGAACCCAUAUUGUUCACACAAAAUAUAUGACCAAUCACCCUUUUGUGAUUGGUUUUUUUUUG
rfam:Vibrio splendidus LGP32 chromosome 2